UGAUAAUAUAAAUAAAUAAUUAUUUAAUAAUUUAUUUAAAAAAUAAAUUAGUUUAUGUAAUAUAUAUUUAGAAUGGUUAAAAUUUAUGAUAGUAAAUACAGUAAUUUAUAGUUAAAAGAUAAUAAAUUUAGUGCCAGCAAUUGCGGUUAAACUAAAGUCUUAAAUAAAUAAAAUUAAUAAGAGAUUAUUUGUAUUAUUUUGAGUUAUAAUAAUUAAAUAAAAUUUAUAAGGUGAAAUUUUAAAUAUUAUUUUAGAAUUAUAAAAUAAAUAUAAAUUAUUUAUAAAAUUAGGCAUAAAACUAGGAUUAGAUACCCUAUUAUUCUAAUUAAAAAUAAAAUUAUUAGAGAUUAAAUGUGUGUAUAAUCAUUAAAUUUAAAUAAUUUGGCGGUAUUUUAAAUGGUCAGAGGAAUUUGUUGAGUAAAUGAUAAUCCACGAUAGGCAGAUCCUAAUGAAGUUUUUAUAUAUUGUUGUUUAAAUAUUAAUUUAAAAGAAUUUAAUAAAAAUUUAUUAUAAUUUGAGAGGAAUUCAAAUCAAAAUGUAGGAUUAUUAGGGUUAAAUGAAUUACAUUUUAAUUUAAUAUUUAUGGAAUUAAUUUUUAAAUAUAGGUUAAUGAGAUUGGAUUUGAAAGUAAAUUUAAAUAAUUAUUUAAAUUGAAAAAUUUUUUUAAUAAAAUAUGUACAAAUUGCCCGUCAUUUUCAUGAAUAUAUAAUUGGAAAAAGUCGUAACAAAGUAAGUGUAUAGGAAUAUGUACUUAGAGGAUUUAAAUUAU
rnacentral:ncRNA from 1 species